rnacentral:rRNA from 1 species
GUGCCAGCCGCCGCGGUAAUACGUAGGGGGCGAGCGUUGUCCGGAUUUACUGGGCGUAAAGAGCGCGUAGGCGGAAGCUUAAGUGUGGCCUGAAAGACCCCGGCUCAACCGGGGAGUGGGGCUGCAAACUGGGUUUCUUGAGGGGGAUAGAGGAGAGUGGAAUUCCUGGUGUAGCGGUGAAAUGCGUAGAGAUCAGGAGGAACACCCGUGGCGAAGGCGGCUCUCUGGGUCCGCCCUGACGCUGAGGCGCGAAAGCGUGGGGAGCGAACGGGAUUAGAUACCCGGGUAGUCC